rnacentral:rRNA from 1 species
UACGGAGGAUGCGAGCGUUAUCCGGAUUUAUUGGGUUUAAAGGGUGCGUAGGCGGACGCUUAAGUCAGCGGUAAAAUUGCGGGGCUCAACCUCGCCGAGCCGUUGAAACUGGGUGCCUUGAGUGGGCGAGAAGUACGCGGAAUGCGUGGUGUAGCGGUGAAAUGCAUAGAUAUCACGCAGAACUCCGAUUGCGAAGGCAGCGUACCGGCGCCCUACUGACGCUGAAGCACGAAGGCGUGGGUAUCGAACAGG